rnacentral:lncRNA from 1 species
CUGGAGACCAGGUCAACCUGACCUAAAGUGCUGUUAAGCCCCGGGCUGUGGGGAGUUUCCAUGGAGCCGAUUCUCAAUUCUCACGAAGUCAACAGCUGGCACACUGCUGUCAUGCUGCAGUUCUCAGUAAAUAUUUGUUGAAUGAGUCAGCCACUGUCAGUUACAUGGGUCCGGGCAACUGAGGGGCUUGGCUCUGCUAUUUUCCUUCAAUGAUGACAAUCUCCUGCAGGAGAUGAGGCCAUCUUUUAUUCACAUAGUAAGAGCGGGAUUGGAAUAGAGAGAUGGGGAAUGAGACAGAGAGGAGGCCUGCCACCUCCAUUUGAGCAUCAUUGCUUGGGGAAAGGUGAGGCAAUGGACUCCAUCCCAGUCUGUUUUCUGCAGGAGCAGGUUCAAGGUAUUCUCCAAGAAGAGAGGUCCUUUUAAAGAAUGAGCAUCAAGCAUCCACUCUAAAAGGAAGAUGGAGAAAGCCAGUGCAAGGCCUGCCUGUUGGGCAUCAUGUGGAUUUGCCCUUGGCUCUUGUGUUCACUCGGAGCCCUCUGGUGUCCCGUUUCCAGCUGGGCUGUGCACGCACCCUGGGGAUUCAGUGGAAGAGGAGCAAUCUGAAUCCAGCAGUGCUGAGAAAACCCAAGAGCUACAUGGCCAGCAUUUCCCAUCAGAGAGCCAACAGGGCCCCUGGUUUUGCCUUCCCGCCCACCAGCCCUGGUUAAUGGAGCUUUUGUUCUGCCUGAUGCUGCCUUGCUAAUCAGGGUGUAUCAUAUGGGAGCUAUCAGGAGAGCGGGGCCUGCUUCACAAAGGAACACAGGUUGCCUUUAGAGUUGGCUACAAAACUUAGAGCUUGGUGAUGGCUCAGGCACAAAAGAGCUGGCUGUACUUGAGGCUGACUUCCAUUCUACCUGUGACUAUUACAUUCAAGGUAGUGAACGCUUGAAGCCUCUGGCAUCCUGAUCCCAUGAUUACUGCAGAGAAAAGAGGUAAAUCAAGAACUGCUUGGGGAACAGCAUCAUCAUCGGUUCUGGCAUGUGCAUCUAAGCAAGGCGUGCCUCUCAGGAAGGAUUUCACUCUUUGUUGUAACUGUAUCAUACCUUUUACAAAAAGUCACUUUGAGGUCACUUUUUUUUUGUCCAGUAUUUCAAUACAUUAAAUGCAAUUACUUCAUUGUUGAUUUACCUGUCAUUACAGGCAUGUGUUUGAACAUGAUUUAUUGAGUGAGUUUUGUGCCAGUUGACUUGCAAUAGAUUGCACAAUAUUCAAAGGGGCUCAUUUGCUUGGCAUUACAUUAGAGGCAUGAUGAUUGCAACACAAAGCAAUGUAAAUGAAUUCUGAGAGGCUCCAUCAUUCAUGUUGUCAUGUACUGAAUCCUAUUAUUAUUUAUUACCAUAAUUGUACUGUGUUUCCUGGGGCGAUAAAUUAGGACUGAUGGGCCCCACUGACAGUCAAGGGCUGGACUCGCUCUAUAUAAUUUAAUAGGGAUACUGUAGGGUCUGUGUGUUU